rnacentral:snRNA from 15 species
UAACUUACCCAGUGCCUGGUUCUGGGUGAUCAAGAAUUCUCUGACCCCGAGUGGAGGCUCACCAUUCCACCUCGGUGGGUUGAAACCUUCACGGACCAUAAUGGGGUGAGUACGGGAGUGUAACUUUUGUCAGUGGGAAACAUCACAGUCCUCCCUU